GAUGAAGAACGUAGCGAAAUGCGAUAAGUAAUGUGAAUUGCAGAAUUCAGUGAAUCAUCGAAUCUUUGAACGCACAUUGCGCCCGCCAGUAUUCUGGCGGGCAUGCCUGUUCGAGCGUCAUUUCAACCAUCAAGCCCCAGGCUUGUGUUGGGGACCUGCGGCUGCCGCAGGCCCUGAAAACCAGUGGCGGGCUCGCUGUCACACCGGGCGUAGUAGAUUUUAUCUCGCUCAGGGCGUGCUGCGGGUUCCGGCCGUUAAAAAGCCUUUUUUACCCAAGGUUGACCUCGGAUCAGGUAGGAAGACCCGCUGAACUUAAGCAUAUCAAACGCGGAGGA
rnacentral:misc_RNA from 1 species